rnacentral:rRNA from 1 species
AGAGUUUGAUCAUGGCUCAGGACGAACGCUGGCGGCGUGCCUAAUACAUGCAAGUCGAGCGAAGGAUAGGUUACGAGCCUUCGGGCGAGGGACCUAUUACUUAGCGGCGAACGGGUGAGUAACGCGUGGGCAACCUGCCCCCCAGACUGGGAUAACAGCUCGAAAGGGCUGCUAAUACCGGAUGAGCCUCUGGUGCCGCAUGGUGCUGGAGGGAAAGCGAUUCAGCGCUGGGGGAUGGGCCCGCGUCCCAUUAGCUAGUUGGUGAGGUAACGGCUCACCAAGGCGACGAUGGGUAGCCGGCCUGAGAGGGUGGACGGCCACACUGGGACUGAGACACGGCCCAGACUCCUACGGGAGGCAGCAGUAGGGAAUAUUGCGCAAUGGGGGGAACCCUGACGCAGCGACGCCGCGUGAGCGAAGAAGGCCUUCGGGUCGUAAAGCUCUGUCCUAUGGGAAGAAGGAGACGGUACCAUAGGAGGAAGCCCCGGCUAACUACGUGCCAGCAGCCGCGGUAAU